rnacentral:rRNA from 1 species
UGGGGAAUAUUGGACAAUGGGCGCAAGCCUGAUCCAGCCAUGCCGCGUGAGUGAUGAAGGCCCUAGGGUUGUAAAGCUCUUUCGCCAGGGACGAUAAUGACGGUACCUGGAUAAGAAGCCCCGGCUAACUUCGUGCCAGCAGCCGCGGUAAUACGAAGGGGGCUAGCGUUGUUCGGAAUCACUGGGCGUAAAGCGCACGUAGGCGGAUCUUUAAGUCAGGGGUGAAAUCCCGAGGCUCAACCUCGGAACUGCCUUUGAUACUGGAGGUCUCGAGUCCGGGAGAGGUGAGUGGAACUGCGAGUGUAGAGGUGAAAUUCGUAGAUAUUCGCAAGAACACCAGUGGCGAAGGCGGCUCACUGGCCCGGUACUGACGCUGAGGUGCGAAACGCGUGGGGAGCAAACAGGAUUAGAUACCCUGGUAGUCCACGCCGUAAACUAUGGAUGCUAGCCGUUGGGCAGCUUGCUGUUCAGUGGCGCAGCUAACGCUUUAAGCACCCGCCUGGGGAGUACGGUCGCAAGAUUAAAA